CACCGCCGCGGUAAUACGAAGGGUGCAAGCGUUACUCGGAAUUACUGGGCGUAAAGCGUGCGUAGGUGGUGGUUUAAGUCCGUUGUGAAAGCCCUGGGCUCAACCUGGGAAUUGCAGUGGAUACUGGGUCACUAGAGUGUGGUAGAGGAUAGUGGAAUUUCCGGUGUAGCAGUGAAAUGCGUAGAGAUCGGAAGGAACAUCUGUGGCGAAGGCGACUAUCUGGGCCAUUACUGACACUGAGGCACGAAAGCGUGGGGAGCAAACAGGAUUAGAUACCCGUGUAGUCCCUGUCUCUUAUACC
rnacentral:rRNA from 1 species